AUGGACUUUGGGCUGAGCUGGCUUGUCCUUGUGGCUAUUUUACAAGGUGUCCAGUGUGAGGUGUAGCUGGUGGAGUCUGGGGGAGGCUUGGUGAAGCCAGGGGGGUCUCUGCGACUCUCUUGUGCAGCGUCUGGAUUCACCUUCAGUAGCUAUGGCAUGAGCUGGGUCCACCAGGCUCCAGGGAAGGGGCUGGAGUGGAUCUCAGCUAUUAGUGGUAAUGGUGGUUACACAUACUAUGCAGACUCUGUGAAGGGCCGAUUCACCAUCUCCAGAGACAACUCCAAGAACACGCUGUAUCUGCAAAUGAACAGCCUGAGAUCUGAGGACACGGCCGUGUAUUACUGUGCGAAAGGCUUUGGUCAUUUCUGGGUCCAUUUGUAUGGCACAUCCAUGCCUAUGGUUAAAAUGGUUUCCCUUUCUCCUGUUAAUCUGUCUUUAGAACUUCUGGGCUUCCUGAAUCGCAUCUGCAGGAAGAUGAAUCCACUGUGGUUCUUCGUCUUCCUGGUGUCAGCUCCCAGAGGUGUCCUGUCCCAGGUGCAGCUGCAGGAGUCGGGACCCAGCCUGGUGAAGCCCUCCCAGACCCUCUCCCUCACCUGCACUGUCUCUGGAUUCUCAUUAAGCAGCUAUGCUGUAGGCUGGGUCCGCCAGGCUCCAGGAAAGGGGCUGGAGUCGGUUGGUGUCCUGUCCCAGGUAUUGCUGCAGGAAUCGGACCCAGGACUAUUGAAGGCUGUCUCCUUAACCCGCUCACUCUCUGGAUUCCCCAUUACAAACAGUGCUGACUGCUGGGACUGGAUCCCGCAGCCCCCAGGGAAAGGGCUGGGGUGA